rnacentral:rRNA from 1 species
ACGGAGGGUGCAAGCGUUAUCCGGAAUCACUGGGUUUAAAGGGUGCGUAGGCGGUCUUGUUAGUCAGUCGUGAAAUCACUGGGCUCAACCCAUGUAAUUGCGAUUGAUACUGCAGGACUUGAAUUAGGUUAAGGCAGGCGGAAUGUGACAUGUAGCGGUGAAAUGCAUAGAUAUGUCAUAGAACACCGAUUGCGAAGGCAGCCUGCUGGGCCUUGAUUGACGCUGAGGCACGAAAGCGUGGGGAGCAAACAGG